rnacentral:rRNA from 1 species
UACAGAGGGUGCGAGCGUUAAUCGGAAUUACUGGGCGUAAAGCGCACGUAGGCGGCUUGGUAUGUCGGGUGUGAAAUCCCCGGGCUCAACCUGGGAACUGCAUCCGAAACUGCCUUGCUAGAGUAUGGGAGAGGGAAGUGGAAUUUCCGGUGUAGCGGUGAAAUGCGUAGAUAUCGGAAGGAACAUCAGUGGCGAAGGCGGCAUCCUGGACCGGUAUUGACGCUGAGGCGCGAAAGCCAGGGGAGCAAACGGG